rnacentral:rRNA from 1 species
AGAGUUUGAUCCUGGCUCAGGACGAACGCUGGCGGCGUGCCUAACACAUGCAAGUCGAACGGAACUUCUUUAAUUGACUUCUUCGGAAUGAUUUUGAUUAAGUUUAGUGGCGGACGGGUGAGUAACGCGUGAGUAACCUGCCUCUAAGAGGGGAAUAACAUUCUGAAAAGAAUGCUAAUACCGCAUAACAUAUAUUUAUCGCAUGGUAGAUAUAUCAAAGAUUUAUCGCUUAGAGAUGGACUCGCGUCCGAUUAGUUAGUUGGUGAGGUAACGGCUCACCAAGACCGCGAUCGGUAGCCGGACUGAGAGGUUGAACGGCCACAUUGGGACUGAGACACGGCCCAGACUCCUACGGGAGGCAGCAGUGGGGGAUAUUGCGCAAUGGGGGAAACCCUGACGCAGCAACGCCGCGUGAAGGAUGAAGGUCUUCGGAUUGUAAACUUCUUUUAUUAAGGACGAAGAAAGUGACGGUACUUAAUGAAUAAGCUCCGGCUAACUACGUGCCAGCAGCCGCGGUAAUACGUAGGGAGCAAGCGUUGUCCGGAUUUACUGGGUGUAAAGGGUGCGUAGGCGGCUUUGCAAGUUAGAUGUGAAAUCUAUGGGCUCAACCCAUAGCCUGCAUUUGAAACUGCAGAGCUUGAGUGAAGUAGAGGCAGGCGGAAUUCCCCGUGUAGCGGUGAAAUGCGUAGAGAUGGGGAGGAACACCAGUGGCGAAGGCGGCCUGCUGGGCUUUAACUGACGCUGAGGCACGAAAGCGUGGGUAGCAAACAGGAUUAGAUACCCUGGUAGUCCACGCUGUAAACGAUGAUUACUAGGUGUGGGGGGUCUGACCCCUU